rnacentral:rRNA from 1 species
UACGUAGGGGGCAAGCGUUGUCCGGAUUUAUUGGGCGUAAAGAGCGUGUAGGCGGCCUGACAGGUCUGCUGUGAAAACUCAAGGCUCAACCUCGAGAUGUCGGCGGAAACCGUCUGGCUAGAGUCCGGAAGAGGAGAGUGGAAUUCCUGGUGUAGCGGUGAAAUGCGCAGAUAUCAGGAGGAACACCAAUGGCGAAGGCAGCUCGCUGGGACGGUACUGACGCUGAGACGCGAAAGCGUGGGGAGCGAACAGG